UGCUCUUGCUCCAAGACACUUGACAGCUCUCUUCCUUCCCUGGACGGCGGUGGCAGCACCCAGUGGAGUGGUAAAACCUGGGUAGGAAGCCAUGCCCAAGGGGAGGCCUGGAUGGACAGGAGGAAGGAGCAAAAUGAGGAGGGGGAGAACUGGCUGCUGAAUUGGAAAAGAUAAAGUCAAAUGAAAUUUUAGGAGCUCUCUGUAUUCUUGCUUCCUCCAAACAAAAUCUGUGUGCUGGAUACUGGGGAAGGAAGACACAGUUCCUAAUGGCAUGGAAUGCCCGGUGGUGAUACUGUGAUUUAUAAUAAAUAGGCAUUUGGUCUUCAUUCCAAUUUCUGGCAUGGUGGUCCUAAAAGCCUUGGAAUUUCCUGUGGAGGACCAAACCUAUGUGUGGCUUUAUUCUCAAUUGUUCACUAGAAACUGGCCAAGGAAAACAAGCCCUUUAAAAGUGGUGAGGUUCAGGUAGAGGUCAUGUGGUUCUUCGGCAUCUGUCUCAGACUUGAGAAGAUAAAACAAGAGAGACUAAAAGCAGUUGUUACAUUAACUGCCUGAGAAAGCAUCAAGGAGGAGGUAGAGAGGGAAGACGCAAGGGCAAAGAUUUAUAGGCAGUGAUGUUCAAAAGCUACAAAGGGACAAUGAGGAAGCCAUUUCUGUUUGAAAGAAAAAAAUAAAGCACCAGCAUUCAAGGUGUGGAAGAGCUGUUUUGUUAGUCUUCAGGUCAUUCUCAGAGGGAGUUGCUUUAUAUGUAGCGGCCACCUUGGUGUGUACAUGGCAGAGAUGGCUUGCUGUGGGGGAAAGCAGCUGCCAUGUUGUAAGGAAGCUGCUCUAUGGAGAGGCCCAUGUAGUGAGGAAUUGAAGUUUUCCAGCAAUCAUAUCUGUGAGCUUGGAAGAAGGCCUUCUCUCCAUGCCCAAACAACCCACCUGUUGAACCUUCAGAUGAGCCCACAGCCGUGACUGACAGCUUCACUGCAGCCUCCAGAAAGACCUUGAACCAGAGGUACCCAGCUAAGCUGCCCCUGGACUCCUAACCCACAGAAACUGUGGGAUAAUAAAUGUUGGUUGUUUG